rnacentral:misc_RNA from 1 species
AAGGAUUAUUAUUCGGAACAUCUUCGUAGAAGAUGAAAGYGGAAUAACGGUGACAUAUUGCAUUUAGUUUUGAAUGCUCAUUCGAGUAUUCAAGAUUGCACAUUGAAAACUAGAUAGUAAGUAUAGAUGAAUUAAUCUAUUAUAGAUUUUACCAAGCAAAACCGAGUGAAUUAGAGUUUUUAAAAGCUUGAAUUCAAAAAUAAUCGCUAGUGUUCAAUAGAACACUCACAGAUUAAUAACUAAGGUUUUAAGUGGUUGACUUAAAACAAUUSA